GCCCAGGUGGUGAAAUUGGUAGACACGCCAUCUUGAGGGGGUGGUGCUCGAAAGGGCAUGCUGGUUCGAGUCCAGUCCUGGGCA
rnacentral:tRNA from 2 species